rnacentral:snRNA from 1 species
GUGCUCCCUUAGCAGAACCAUCAAAACUGGAUCAACCCAGAAAAGACUAGCAUGGCCCCUGAACAAAAGGGAGUAACGUAUGUGAAGUAGCAAAGAUUGUA